rnacentral:lncRNA from 1 species
UAGACUCACACCUUAGAGUAUCAAGGGCACUCUUAAGAACCUCUAACUUUUGCGGGUAAGUUAGUACCUUAGAGUAUCAAAGAACUCUUAAAAACCACUCUAAGCUUUAAGGCUACUUCGCUUAGAAACCAGUCUUUUACGGGUAGACUCACACCUUAAAAUAUCGAGAGCACUCUUAAGAACCUCUAACUUUUACGGGUAAGUUAGUACCUUAGAGUAUCAAGGAACUCUUAAAAACCUAGAAAUCUUUCAAGGUAGAUUCGACCUAAGAGUUUUUUCGGAAACUCUAUAAAACCAAACUAGAGCUUUAUGGUUGAGCUCGAAAACUUUCUCUCACAUUUUGGUACUAUUGAGACAACCCUCUCAACCAAAGUGGACACACACAAGAGAUGAUUAGAGGAGUGGAAUAUUAAAGCAAACAACACUUCUUACUUGUAA